UUGUCUCAAAGAUUAAGCCAUGCAUGUCUAAGUAUAAACAACUUUAUACUGUAAAACUGCGAACGGCUCAUUAUAUCAGCAAUAAUUUAUUUGAUGAUUUCUUACUACAUGGAUAACUGUAGUAAUUCUAGAGCUAAUACAUGCGCAAAGUCCUAACUCGCGAGGGGAGGGAUGUAUUUAUUAGAUACAAAACCAAUGCGGGUUCUGCUCGCCAUUGUGUUGAAUCAUAGUAACUUAUCGAACGCCAUAGCCUUGUGCUGGGCGUAGAUCAUUCAAAUUUCUGCCCUAUCAGCUUUCGACGGUAGUGUAGUGGACUACCGUGGCGUUAACGGGUAACGGGGA
rnacentral:rRNA from 1 species